AUCAGAAGAAGUGCAAUAGGGGGAGAAGUGCAAUGCAAUCAGAAGAAGUGCAAUAGGGAGAAGUGCAAUGCAAUCAGAAGAGAAGUGCAAUAGGGGGAGAAAUGCAAUACAAUUAGAAGAAGUGCAACAGAGAGAAGUGCAAUACAAUCAGAAGUGCAAUAGGGAGAAGUGCAAUGCAAUCAGAAGAAGAAGUGAAAUAGGGGGAGAAAUGUAAUACAAUUAGAAGAAGUGCAACAGGGAGAAGUGCAAUACAAUCAGAAGUGCAAUAGGGAGAAGUGCAAUGCAAUCAGAAGAAGAAGUGCAAUAGGGUGAGAAGUGCAAUGCAAUCAGAAGAAAUGCAAUAGGGGAGAAGUGCAAUACAAUCAGAAAAGAAGUACAAUUAGGGGAGAAGUGCAAUACAAUCAGAAGAGCAAUUAGGUGAGAAGUGCAAUGACUGAAUACAUAAAAUCCUUCGAGACCAAAACCAAAGAAACAACAAAACUGUGACCAGAAGUAUACCUCUGUUCCAUCAAAGCGGAAAUCAAUAACUUUUCAAUCCAAUAAUUCCAAAACAACAACUUCAAGUAAAUUCCAACUCACCCAACAAGUGCAAGCGGCGACUUCUUAUUUUGUGAAUUGAUUCUCCUUCAACCAACCCAUUGCAAGUUGUACUAGCAUUCCUUCAAGCAAAUUCCAUGUUCAAUAACACAUACUAACGCCUCUAAUUCAAUCUAAAUGCAAAAUAAAUUUGUUCCUUUAAUCAAACCCGAAUCAAGAAAGCAAACAGAUCAAGAAUACCAAACGACCAAAACAAAUAUAUUCCCAAAUUUUUGGGAAUUCAAUUACGGAAGCAACAGACAAUUCAAGGAGGAUCGAACCAUGCUCUUGAUGCCAUGUUAGAAUCAAAGAUACACAAAUAGUAGGAAAAGAGAAAGACGGCUAGGGUUUCAUAGAAUACCAAUAGCUUAACAUUACAAAAAGAGAUAUACAAAUGUUAGAAUUAGAGAUAUACAAAUAGAAAAAUAGAAAGAUAAACGACGGCUAGGGUUUCAUAGAAUACCAAUAGCUUAACAUUACAAAAAGGUUACUGGAGAGAAUAUAUAAUAAAACCUAAUGGACUCUAGACUAAUAGGCCCAAUAACAUAGACUAUUAUUUUAUUAUCUAACAUCCAUAACCAACAG
rnacentral:lncRNA from 1 species